rnacentral:lncRNA from 1 species
CAAAAUAAUACAAAUUUCAACUUUGUGUUUCCUAUUUUAGAGCUUGAGUCUUGCUGUUCUUUUAUUCCAGACAUCUGUACAUUAACCAUACACAACUAGCUGGACCCUCUGUCCAAGCAGGGCAGCUACUUGAGGUUGUGUGCAAACAAGUGUGUUAACCAGUCAAUGCAUUAAAGGAACAGAUUGUGCCCACUCCGACUGCCAAAGACAACCAGGACCUCUUUCUUUUCCCACAGCAGGUUGUGGCCCUGCUCAGAAUGGACUGCCAGCGAAAGACAGAAGAAAUGGAAGGGAAAUACACGGACAAAAGGAUGCGGGUACAGAAGUAUCUCUUACUCUGUUCUGUCUCACUGGUAGCUAUGUUCGGCUCUUCCUCAUUAAAAGGAUAUUUAGUACAGUCCUCCUCACCCUGUCGAGUAUAGCUAGAAGGUUUGUGAGCGUAGGUAUUCUGAAGGCUCAAAAUUUUCUGCUUGCGUAUGAUUAAGUGAUGAAAGGCUAGGUGAGCCUGACAGUAGCAUGCAAAAUGAAAUCCUUUGGGGGUGGAACGUUGCAGGAGUAAGCGUUACUGCAUGGAUUUUUCAGUUCUAGGUUACCAUAUUGAAAACUGCUCUGGUCUAGUAGUGAAUGAAAACUCUUAGUGGUGAAAAGAAAGUUUCAGUAUCCUUAGAAUAAACAUUUCAAAAAAAACUCUGCUUUUCUGUUUAGCAGGGAAUUCCUUCUGGGUACAAUGCAGAGUAUUGUCCCAUUUCUGGAAAAGAGUAAAUCUCAGGGCAGAUGACAAUUGAAAUAUCCUUUCACAAGGAAAUGUUCCUGGGGCUCAAAUUGAACUUCCCCCAAGGGUGUCUUAUCAGCUUUGCAGCAGAAAGAAUUUUUGCAGAUAGUUUCAAGACAAAUGAAAUCAUAUCUUCUGCUUAUUCAUUUGAAGAAGAAAAUAAAUCAGGCAGCUGAAGAGGACAACACAGAAGAGGACAAAGCCACGUUAUCUGGUCAAGAGCAAGCAGCCUUGUGGGUCAGCACUGUGUCUUCAGUGCCAGGAUAUGAGGCAAGUUUGCCCCUUCCAUCCAGCAAAUGAUAAGUCACUUUAUCACUCUUCACCCAGAAGUCCCCCAUAACUAUAUACUCUACUUCAUUCAGUGCUUGCAAAACUUUCUGUUAUUGUCUCUGAAUGUCAG